rnacentral:lncRNA from 1 species
AAACCUUUGUUAAAACCACUACAAGUGUGAUUUGUACAUAUACAUAUACAUUAAUUGAUUGUAGCUUUGAAUGACAGAUAAAGAGUCAAAUGAAAGAAUAGCAGUUUACGUAAUUAGAGACCGGUAGGUUUCUUGCUGUGCUGUGAGAGACCAUUACGAAACACUUAUCCUUACAAAACUUAAAGAGGAGGAUCGGCCCUGAUAAUUCAUUUUUCUAGAUACCUGCAUUUCGAGACCGAAACUAUCUCCUGGCAACGUCUUGCUGGUGGUUGAAGUGGUGAAGACAGACUAGACCAGAAAGUUAGCAAUGGGACCUGGUGGACCGGGAGGAGGGCCUGGUGGACCGGGAGGAGGGCCUGGAGGACCUGGCGGAUGGGGGGGAGGUCCAGGAGGACCUGGUGGAUGGGGAGGAGGUCCAGGAGGACCCGGUGGAUGGGGAGGACCAGGUGGAUGGGGCGGAGGUCCAGGAGGACCUGGGGGAUGGGGAGGAGGUCCAGGGGGACCUGGCUGGGGUCCGGGGCCUGGAGGUCCCUGGGGCCCUGGAUUUGGAGGUGGGUUCUUUGGUGGAUUUGCUGAUGGCUUGUGCAACAUGAUAUCUUCUUUGUAAGCAAUCAUCUUUUCUCAAUUCUCCUCCAAUGUCUAGUUAACUACGCUUCGAUUUUUAUCUUACUCACUUCUUAACCUUAAUUGUUUUCGAUUGCAGCUUUUACUGUCUGUGCUGUUGUUGGCUACUACAGGAAUGCUUCGGUGGACCUCGUGGCUAUGGUCCUCCCGGCCCUGGCGGGCCUCCCCCAUUCUGAUCCUAUUCUGUAUGUUGCACAGAGAUAGAGGUCAUCUGCAGCAUAGUUGUUCCUUACCAUAAUUUUUACAGUCUACUAGUGUUUACAAUUUCAUCACUGCUGUCCGCUUUGUUUUCUUGUUGUUUCCAACGCUAUUGUCAUCUAUUAUGAAAACUGGUUUGAGUAUUAAUAAAUGUUAUCAGCUGAUUAAUUGGGAUGAUUACUUCAACUGGGA